GGCGCCGAAUAGCUCACUCGGUAAAGCAUCGCCUUACGAAGCAGCAGUGAUUAUCAAGUCGCGGGUUCGAUCCCCGCCUCAUGCCA